AAGGCCUCCAGGGGAGGGGAGGCCACUUCCUUUCUUCACGUCUUUCUUCCUUUUUGGGAUCUGCAGACUGGAAAGUGGCAGCCCCUUCCCGGAACACGUGAAGGUGGAGAAGAGCUGCAAGUCUACUCAUCUUGAUAAAACUGGAUGGACAGAAUUCAGAAACGGGGCCAGAACUGGAAGAAGGCUGUCUUCAUACCCAAGUGAGUAAGGGAAACUUUUCACUGUCAGAGGCAACCCAAUUGGAGAAGAAAAUGGAAGAGCAGGACCUAGGAGUACCUGGACCUGGCAAGAGAGCAAGGAAGGACCCCUGUCUCCUCCAAGCUAGCUGUGGUGUUGAAUUCUGGGAGAGAGCUGUUCCAGAGGUCUGGGAUCAGGAGACCUUGAACUCAGAAGUACUUUGCCGAGACUUCUGGCAGUUCUGCUACCGUGAUGCUGAUGGGCCCCGAAAGAUUUGCAGCCGGCUCCAUGGGCUUUGCAAGCGCUGGCUGAAGCCAGAGAGGCACUCCAAGAAGCAGAUCCUGGACCUGGUGAUCCUGGAGCAGUUCCUGACCAUCCUGCCCCAGGAAAUGCAGCGCUGGGUGAGAGGAUGUGGGCCGGAGACCUGUU